rnacentral:rRNA from 1 species
UGGGGAAUUUUGGACAAUGGGCGAAAGCCUGAUCCAGCAAUGCCGCGUGUGUGAAGAAGGCCUUCGGGUUGUAAAGCACUUUUGUCCGGAAAGAAAUCCUUGGCUCUAAUACAGUCGGGGGAUGACGGUACCGGAAGAAUAAGCACCGGCUAACUACGUGCCAGCAGCCGCGGUAAUACGUAUGGUGCAAGCGUUAAUCGGAAUUACUGGGCGUAAAGCGUGCGCAGGCGGUUUGCUAAGACCGAUGUGAAAUCCCCGGGCUCAACCUGGGAACUGCAUUGGUGACUGGCAGGCUAGAGUAUGGCAGAGGGGGGUAGAAUUCCACGUGUAGCAGUGAAAUGCGUAGAGAUGUGGAGGAAUACCGAUGGCGAAGGCAGCCCCCUGGGCCAAUACUGACGCUCGUGCACGAAAGCGUGGGGAGCAAAACAGGAUUAGAUACCCUGGUAGUCCACGCCCUAAAACGAUGUCAACUAGUUGUUGGGGGAUUCAUUUCCUUAGUAACGUAGCUAACGCGUGAAGUUGACCGCCUGGGGAGUACGGUCGCAAGAUUAAAACUUAAAGGAAUUGACGGGGUCAUAGCUGUUUCCU